rnacentral:lncRNA from 1 species
UCUUUACGACUGGGUAGAUGGUGAGGGAGCUACUGAUUGUUGUCAGUGGGAAAGGGUUGAGUGCAGCAACACCACAGGCCGAGUGAUAACGCUAGACCUUUUUGACACGUAUGGGGGAGAGCACAACUGGUAUCUGAAUGCUUCUUUGUUUACUCCCUUCCAACAACUUGAGUCACUUGAUUUAACUUACAACAAAAUAACCGGUUGUGUUGAGAAUGAAGGUGCUUCGUUUAAUUUAAUUAAUUUACUUUCUCCCCCCUAAUUUAAGUUGAAUAUCAAGACCGAGCAAUUAUAUGCAUAUUCAUUCAGUUGACAAUUUUGACUUAUUUUUUUUAAAUGAUUAAUUUUGAAAUUACACCAGUAUCUAUCAUCUUUUUUUUUAUUAUUAUUGCAGGUAUAGUUCUAAGUAAAAACAUGGAAAUGUAAUUUCCACAAAAUGCCAAACGUGUGGAAUUUAAUUUUUUGCCUUGUGGAUCAAAAUACAAAUGAAAGAAACAGAAGAAAAAAAAGGCCCAAAGACUUCUAAAAGAUGAAGAAGUCUUUGUGCCUUUUUAUAAUGGUGAAUUUUUUAAAAGAAAAAAAAUAACAACAUUUGAUUUUUUAAAAGAAAAAAAUAACAACACUUUUAUGGUUGGUUUUGAUAAUCAUAUGUGCGUAUAUACUCUCUAAUUUUCAAAAUGGACACAUAAAUCUUUUUUUUUGGAGUGAGGGAUGUUUGGAUCACGAGAGAUUUGCUCUUUUGCGACUCAAACAUUUCUUCACUGGUCCUUGUAAUUAUCUUUACGACUGGGUAGAUGGUGAGGGAGCUACUGAUUGUUGUCAGUGGGAAAGGGUUGAGUGCAGCAACACCACAGGCCGAGUGAUAACGCUAGACCUUUUUGACACGUAUGGGGGAGAGCACAACUGGUAUCUGAAUGCUUCUUUGUUUACUCCCUUCCAACAACUUGAGUCACUUGAUUUAACUUACAACAAAAUAACCGGUUGUGUUGAGAAUGAAGGUGCUUCGUUUAAUUUAAUUAAUUUACUUUCUCCCCCCUAAUUUAAGUUGAAUAUCAAGACCGAGCAAUUAUAUGCAUAUUCAUUCAGUUGACAAUUUUGACUUUUUUUUUAAAGAUUAAUUUUGAAAUUACACUAGUAUCUAUGAUCCUUUUUUUUUUUAUUUUACUUGCAG